rnacentral:sRNA from 1 species
ACUCGCGGUAUUGGAGUCAAGAUGGAGGAGUACGCGCGAGAGCCUUGCCCAUGGCGAAUUGUGGAUGACUGUGGUGGAGCCUUUACGAUGGGUACCAUUGGUGGUGGUAUCUUUCAAGCAAUCAAAGGUUUUCGCAAUUCUCCAGUGGGAGUAAACCACAGACUACGAGGGAGUUUGACAGCUAUUAAAACCAGGGCUCCACAGUUAGGAGCAUGGAUUGGCUUACACCUGUAAUACAUUCCAGAAUAGCUGGAUUUCUUUUGUUUUCCCAUCGGUGAUUUUCAUAGAGUAGAUGCUCAAUGACAUAUAAUGCAGAAAGGCCAAAAAUAGAGGUAGCUUUGCAGUUUGGGGAGGGCUGUUUUCCAUGAUUGACUGUAGUAUGGUUCAAGUCAGAGGAAAGGAAGAUCCCUGGAACUCCAUCACAAGUGGUGCCUUAACGGGAGCCAUACUGGCAGCAAGAAAUGGACCAGUGGCCAUGGUUGGGUCAGCCGCAAUGGGUGGCAUUCUCCUAGCUUUAAUUGAAGGAGCUGGUAUCUUGUUGACAAGAUUUGCCUCUGCACAGUUUCCCAAUGGUCCUCAGUUUGCAGAAGACCCCUCCCAGUUGCCUCCAACUCAGUUACCUUCCUCACCUUUUGGAGACUAUCGACAAUAUCAGUAGGACUUCUUUCCUAGGAUUUCUUUAACAGAACGAGUUGUAGUUCGAGAAGGAUUUCAGAAGAUCAAGUUACAGUCUGUUUUUAAAACCAUAGGUGGGACAGCUAUGGCCAAUAGGCUAUAAAGAGACAUUUAGCACUUUUUUCUAUUUAAAGGAACAAGCGGGG